GCUGAUAUGGCUCAGUUGGUAGAGCGAUUGAUUCGUAAUCAAUAGGUCGGGGGUUCAAAUCCCCCUAUCAGCUCCA
rnacentral:tRNA from 1 species